rnacentral:rRNA from 1 species
UACAGAGGUCUCGAGCGUUGUUCGGAUUCAUUGGGCGUAAAGGGUGCGUAGGUGGCGUCGUAAGUCAGGUGUGAAAUCUCGGGGCUCAACCCCGAAACUGCACUUGAUACUGCGAUGCUUGAGUACUGGAGAGGAGAUUGGAAUUUACGGUGUAGCAGUGAAAUGCGUAGAUAUCGUAAGGAAGACCAGUGGCGAAGGCGAAUCUCUGGACAGUUACUGACACUGAGGCACGAAGGCCAGGGGAGCAAACGGG